rnacentral:lncRNA from 1 species
UGGACAGCAGCAGAGGGAGGAGGAGGCAGGACAGACCGGAAGAGAGACAAUGAGGUUCUGAACCUAGAUGGUGGCAAGGGAGCAGAGAAGGGCAGGUCAGGAGGCCCCCGCCCUGCAAUCACCCUUCCUGGGAGCCUUCACUUCACCUGUGAUCUCAAGACCUCUCCCUCCUGCCUGACUCGUGCCGAGCUUGUGGAACAUCUUCCCUUGAGGGUCGCAGUCCAUUCGAGGAGCCUUGUCACACGUCUUGCUUCUGUGGGGAGCUCAAGCUAGGACACCCCUGGAACACUCCCCAAGUCUCUUCCUUCCCAUCCAGCACCACUUCCCUAAGUCACAACUGCACCACCUCUCAUCUGGACUGCUCACAGCAGGAGGAGUCAGGAUCAAAAUAUCCAAAGAAAAAGUAAGAAUCUAUAUACAGGAAACAAAUAUGUGACGAUGACUGGAGCAGC